rnacentral:rRNA from 1 species
GCUUAACACAUCAAGUCGCACGGGCAGCAAUGUCAGUGGCGGACGGGUGAGUAACGCGUAGGAACGUGUCCUGAGGUGGGGGACAACCCCGGGAAACUGGGGCUAAUACCGCAUAUGGGCUGAGGCCCAAAGCCAGAGGCCCUUUGGACGCCGCUCGAUUAUUAGUUGGUGGUAAGCUACCAAGCUGCGACUACCUGUUGAGAGACGACCACCACACUGGGAGAGACCGGCCAGAC